GCCAGGGUAGUCUACACAAGACAUCUGAUUUCGACUCAGAAGACCUUUCAAAAGCCCCGGAA
rnacentral:tRNA from 1 species